UCGGGAAUAUUGCGCAAUGGAGGAAACUCUGACGCAGUGACGCCGCGUAUAGGAUGAAGGUUUUCGGAUUGUAAACUAUUGUCAUUAGGGAAGAUAAAAGACAGUACCUAAGGAGGAAGCUCCGGCUAACUACGUGCCAGCAGCCGCGGUAAUACGUAGGGAGCAAGCGUUAUCCGGAUUUAUUGGGUGUAAAGGGUGCGUAGACGGGAGAUUAAGUUAGUUGUGAAAGCCCUCGGCUUAACUGAGGAAUUGCAACUAAAACUGGUUUUCUUGAGUGCAGGAGAGGUAAGUGGAAUUCCUAGUGUAGCGGUGAAAUGCGUAGAUAUUAGGAGGAACACCAGUGGCGAAGGCGACUUACUGGACUGUAACUGACGUUGAGGCACGAAAGUGUGGGGAGCAAACAGG
rnacentral:rRNA from 1 species